UUAGCUUGCUAACUCCGCCUUAACGUUACCACCUCGUCACAUCGUUCACAGAAAACAAGCCGAAUGAAGCCGUCACUCGGGGCGACGGCAACAUGCUUUGUGUGGAUGAAGCAUGAAGUUAAUUUGACUCAUUCAGCGGCCGGCUCUCUGCUUCGUAACGUUACUACUCCACGGCUCGUUUGCUCCGCGACUCGCCGGAAGUCGUCUUAUACUGAAAUGUAUAUGUUACCAUGGCAAUGGUAAACGUAAAUGGCUGCCGCUCUGACCAUUCUGCUAUGUUGAUUUAAAUGGAAAUGGCCUUUCUAUUCAAUUCGUCUGACAAUCUUUUCUGUACCGAGGCCGCUGUGUCAGCCAGUAAAGAACUUUACUUCUAAUUUUAAAUAUAGAUAGGCCUUAGUAGUUUAAAUAACUAGUAAAGUAAAGAGAGAAAUAGCAACAAGAAAAAAACACCACAAUUGACAGCUUCUCCAUUGUACAACUUAACCAAUACCCUAGCAUUGUGUAUCAGAUCACAACAAUUUGUAGUUAGCUGGAUCAUCAUUUUCCAUAAUAGACCAUAUACUGACCUACCUGAGACAGCAUCGUAGCUCUGCUCGGGUCCUGCAGGUCACACAAUGUGUACAGUAACGUACAUUAGGCUAACGUUACCAGGCUUGGCUAGCGAUCGUUAAAGACAUGUUCAAAAUCAGCAUUCUGUCUCUGGGGCAGUCAGUUGAGAAAAUAACUAAGAAUAAACAAAAUAAGACUAAAGAUGGACAACAAGGCCACAUCAACAAUAACUAACAGUAUACAGCACCAAUACAAGAUUAAUACAUGAAGAAUUUAUGAAGGGAACACAUUACACAUUAUUUACUAGUUGUCAGGGAGCUCAGAGGACUCAAAAGCACGACUCAGUGGCAGAGGUAAAGAGGUAAUGAAGUUUAUUAUUAUUAUUACAAAGUGCA